rnacentral:Y_RNA from 1 species
GGCUGGUCCGAGUGCAGUGGUGUUUACAACUAAUUGAUCACAACCAGUUACAGAUUUCUUUAUACCUUCUCCACUCCCACUGCUUCACUUGACCAGCCUUUA